UUAGUGCUGGAUCCACAGCUCCGUGCAAUCCAUAUAAACAACUAGGAUGAAGGGACUGAGAAUAACAUCUCCAGGCUUGCUGAGAAAUUAAAUUUUGGUGGACGUUGAACUGUGAGGAACAGCAGGAACCUGCAGUUGGAUAUGGGCUGAUUAGAAGGAGAUUUUGGAACGAGGAACCCUUGGCAGGAGAGUUCAGCCACUGGGGACGGACUGAGGACUUUGCCACAUCUUCUAAACGAAUUGGCUCAGGCCUUAAUGCUGGAUGGGGGAAUCAGUUAAUUGCAGCCCUGGUGUUUUGCGUUCAGUUAGCGCUGUUGUUGCAGCAUCAUUCCUGCGAACUCAAGUACAAGACCUCCCCGUCACUACAGAGCCUUUCAGCGCCAAUGCUGUGCGGUCGUACCUGAAAUUGUGUCAGCAAUGGCCGAUACAUGAGCAGAAAUCCGGUAUAUAGGCAAUGGCUUUGGAAAGUGAAGAUUCAGGACUGGAUCGAUUGAAUAAGUACAUAGGAAUAACCGGAGGCUAAUCAGAUAUUAGACAUGGAUUCAUGAAUCGUCUGGAGGCUUCGGGAGAACAAUCUAUACACUAUACACAAUUUUGCAGGAGUGAAGUUAGGAAACACUUCGGGUGAGAGAAUUUGGGACGACUUUCUGCAAAUUCCUGCUGAUGCUAACUCACGAGUUAAUGUUUAAAUCUUUGAUUAACCUUAUCAAAUGCUGUUUGGAAACCCAAAGAUCCAUCUGCCAUUCUCUUCCUAUGGUCACUAUGUGUGUGUGUCUGUCUCGAUGCUUGUUUCUCUCUUCUCGUUCAUGACGUCAGUAAAAGUCUAC